CUACCGGUUUUAUUUGAAGCCACACUUUAAAAAAAAAAAAAAAAAG
rfam:Apaloderma vittatum contig27626, whole genome shotgun sequence.